rnacentral:rRNA from 1 species
UACGGAGGGUGCAAGCGUUAAUCGGAAUUACUGGGCGUAAAGCGUGCGCAGGCGGUUUGUUAAGUCUGCUGUGAAAUCCCCGAGCUCAACUUGGGAAUUGCAGUGGAUACUGGCAGGCUGGAGUAUGGUAGAGGAAGGUGGAAUUCCCGGUGUAGCAGUGAAAUGCGUAGAGAUCGGGAGGAACACCAGUGGCGAAGGCGGCCAACUGGACGAGUACUGACGCUGAGACACGAAAGCGUGGGGAGCAAACAGG